GAGCUACAGGAGCAGUGGAAGCUGACAGUGCCCUGGCCAGUGAGAUCCUUUAACAGGCUGAAGUAGCUUCUGUGUUGGACAAGGAGGUUGAUUUGACUGCUAAGGGAGGUAACAGUCAGUGGGGGCAAAAAAGAACUCAUUGGAGUCUCAAGGUUGCCUAGGUAUCUUCUGCCAGGCUUCUAACCAUCUGAGUCUGCCAGUGGAAAAUCAAGCAGACCCGUAAAGCAAGACCUCACAUCCCACAGGCGUGGAGAAUUGGGUUAUGACACUAAGCAAUGGAUUUCCAUCAGCCAAGGAAAAAAAAUGAUGCUGAUGAAUUUUAAAGUUCAUGUAGUCGGAGAUGUCCUGAUGCCUGGCACAAUGAACUUGACUGAUACAACCCAUUGAGCAGAUGCUUGGUGUCUGGCCCGAAGCAUUGUUUAGCAGGAUGAGAGAUUAUAGGGCUCUUUACAAGUGAUCACCUACCAUGCAUGUGGGUAAAGGUUGACUACACAACCACCGUUCUGUAAAAAUGUGUUAAUCACAAGAAAAAUACCACAAACCAUCAGAAAGAUUUGGCCUAGAUGUUCUAGAGAUAUUGGCACAACAAACAAACAAACAAAACUCCAAAACAAAAGAAAAUCACAAACAAACAACAAGACCAAUAGCAUGUUUCAGUCCGUUGACUUUUUAUCAGACAAGAAAUAAAAACUCUUCCUGGC